rnacentral:rRNA from 1 species
UAAUAAUAAUUAAUUUAUUAUAGUAGUAAUUAAUAUUAAAUAUUUAAGAAAUUAAGAUUUAGUAAUAUUUUAAUUAAUAACAAAUUUUGUGCCAGCAGUUGCGGUUAAACAAAAAUUAAAUUAAAUUUUAUUAGUUAAUUAAUAAAUAAUUUUAAUAAAAUUAAUUAAAUAUUAAAUUAUUAAGUGAAAUUUUAAUUUAAUUAAAAUUAAUUUAUAAAUUAUGAUUUAAUAAAUUUUUAUAAUAAACUAGGAUUAGAUACCCUAUUAUAAAAAAUUUAAAAUAAUAAUACUAAAAUAGUAUAUAAUUAUUUAUUGAAACUUAAAUAAUUUGGCGGUAUUUUAGUUCAUUUAGAGGAAUCUGUUUAAUAAUUGAUAAUCCACGAAUAAAUUUACUUAAUUUAUUAUUUUGUAUAUCGUUGUUAAAAAAAUAUUUUUAAAUAAAAAUAAUAUUUAAUAUUUUUUAUAAAAAAUUAAAUCAGAUCAAGAUGCAGAUUAUAAUUAAGAAUAUAAUGGAUUACAAUAAAUUUAUUUAUUACUAAUAUUAAUUUGUAAAAAUUAAUUGAGGGUGGAUUUAAAUGUAAUUUUAUUUAAUUUGAUAAAAUGAUUAAAAAUUAAAAUAUGUACAUAUUGCCCGUCGCUUUCAUAAAUAAAUUGGAAUAAGUCGUAACAAAGUAGAGGUACUGGAAAGUGUUUCUAGAAAUAACAAAUUAGAGCUUGAAA